ensembl:lncRNA
GCCCUGCUGGGUCUCCUGGUUUAAAGACAAACAACACAAAAGAGGAAAGUAAGACACACCUAAAGACUUUCAGUCAAUCUGGACCUCGACUCGUACGGUUUCAGGAUCUGGAGCUUCUGUUUUGACUGAAGACUCGCCUCCAACGUUUCCAUCAUAGUUCCAACUGAAGAAAACAAGAUGAUCACGAAACACGAUUGGAACAGGACAAAAGCUGUGAUGAAAUGUUUCAGCAAUUUUCUUUGUUUACGUCAAUAAACCAAAACCGUUAGUAAACCACGUGGAUCAACUAGUCACUGAACGGUAAUCUUAUGAUUUUAUUAGAAUAAUGUUGCAGCUUACAGACGACGAAGAGACUAAAUCAACAUUAACACUGAACACUACAGUUACCUGUUCUUCAUCCCGUACUUCACAAUAUCAGUAUCACAAAUUUAAACGUGUCCUGGUUACCUGAUGUAACUCCAUAACUCCACCCCCUAGUACGCUUCACCAGUGGCUGUGAGGGGUGUUCACCUGUGGUAGUCAUGACAAUAACCUGACCAAUCCCUCACUGCGGCUCAGAGUCUGCAGCACUUUGUGACGGUGAGGCGUGUGGAGGAUUGUAGAAGCUCUGCUGUCAGUCUUUAAUAAGAGAUUUCAUAACUGCAUGUGUCAUUUUUUCCCUCACAUGAAAUAUUUGAACGACAAGUCCUGACAACAGGUACCUGCAGACCCCGCCCUGCAUGUCACCUGGAAGCCAAACACCUACUAAGUUUCUUCAUGCGCAGUGACCCUUUCAUGCUGCUCCUGCUGGAUCCAGUGACUGACAGCAGAUUACCGUGAUGGGAUCCUGGCGUCCUUCCUCACUUCCUGCCUCUCUGUCUGCAGGAGCAGCUCAGGCUCCAUCAACAGAAGCACAGCAGAGUGUGGAGGGCAGACUGCAUGGACACAGGAGGUGUGGCAUCAGGAGGUGUGGCCUCAGGAGGUGUGGCCUCAGGAGGUGUGGUCUCAGGAGGUGUGGUCUCAGGAGGUGUGGUCUCAGAGGUUUGGCUUCAGGUGGUGUGGCCCCAUAGGGGGUGUGGUCUCAGAGGUGUGGCCUCGAGAGGUGUGGCCUCGGGAGGUGUGGCUUCAGGAGGUGUGGCCACGGGGCUGAAAACACCUGAAUUCAAAGAUAAUGAGCUGUGGCCCAAAACGUUUGUCUGUGUAGAGUUUAAGCUCACUGGGUCUGGAGUGUUUUUGUUCUUUGAUUCUGAUCAUUCUGUUAUUUUAUGGUUUUUCAUGGUUUAGUUUGUAUUUCUGCUCCUUUACUGUUCUUGUGCCUCCCUUGUGUUACGUCUAGUCGUCCUUGUCUCCAUGUUGGUGUAUUUCCUGUUCUACUUUGCCGUGUCCUGUGUUAGUCUUUACAGUGUUGCUCUCCCUCCCGUCUCGUCAUGUCCGAUUAGUUUCGGCUGCGUUCCCCUCCUGUUUCCUGUUUCUGUGUAUUUCCCUCUGGAUUACUUCUGCUUCGUAUCCAAAAUAACUUUAUUGCCUUUGCUUCUCUUAUUGCCCGAAAAAGAAUUUUGUUGUCGUGGAAAUCAUGUCAGCCAGCAUUAAAGUCUGGUUACACGACAUCCUAGGACUCCUAAAACUGGAGAAGAUAAAUUCUCCCUCAGAGGCUCAUCUGAUAGAUUUGUUACUCACUGGAAACCAUUACUUAAAUACUUACCGUAGCUUCCAGCACAAGAAAUCUCUUUGUAGUCCAUCAUACGCCCGUGCACAAACGCUCCAGCUGCUUCCAGCAGUGGCUGUUCCACCUUGUAAGAUUACUUCAUUUAGGAUACUCCAGCAUUAUCGAUUUACUUUGACUGAGGAGCAAAUGUCAUUAAUAUCGAUAUUAAUUAGAGUUAAUUAAUGUUGAUUAAUGUCAAUAUGAAUUCACAGGAAUGAGCCCUUUAUUGUUGGUCUUCAUUAUUUGUUUUGAUGUAUGGGUUAAUGUCACGGCUAGACGGUCCUCACCGGUAGCCUUGCCAAUUUUUGUUGUGUUAGUGUGUACUUUGUGGUGUUCUCCUCUCCAUCCUGUGCAUGUGUGUUUGUAUGCUGGAACAUGUACUUCUGGAAGCCGUGGCACGGAAUGGCAGCUGACCCGGGGGGAGGAUCCUGAGCUGGAAUCGUCGCACCUGUGCGUAAUCGCUUCGCCGGCUGCUACUAAUCCGAAGCAGACCUAUUUAACGGUGCAGUCGAGUCACAACCAACGCUGGAACGUCGAGCUAAACCGGGAUCCAGGGAUCGGAGGAGGAGCGGGCACAAGUCACUGCACUGUCACCACGGGGAGAAGCCACCGUGUCACUGCACUGCCCUUUUUGGAUUACAGACUCAAACUGUUGCCUUAUUUUUUCACUGUGAAUAAAUUCACUGUCACUCUGCAAGGAGUCUCGCACCUGAGUCCUUUAACCCAAUUCACCGUGACAGUUAAUCCAUCUUUCUGUAACAUAGUCACCUUCAAAUUAUUGGGGGGUAUUCAUGCCAUCUAUGUUAUUCAUGUUUACUGGAUGUUAUAAAGAAAGAAGAGACGAUCAUUUCUGUCUGUACCUUUGUGCUUAGUGUCUGCAUUUGAUAAUAAAACGAACACAACAGCAGUUUAAAUAUCAGUGCGUCGAAUUCAGACGUCACAACAUUUAAACCGAGUUUCAUUUGCAUCUAAGUGACAGACUCCUGUUUAAAAAGCGUCAGAAUUUCAUUUUUCUUGACUUUAUUCACUUUGUGAACGUUGAUAAACU